GGCUGGGUGCUGGUGUUGUAUGAGGGCAUGUGAGCCACGUAGGCUAGCUGAUAUGUUGCUGGCACCAUGGGAGGACACCUUAGCUGCAUGUCAAACAUGUCAGGAACUCCUUGCCCCAUAUUCAAGUAUUUAUAGGGCAUGGUCCAGUAAAGAAUACUCCUUGCCCUCGAGCUCUAACCAAUAACCACUGCAAGGGUGAAGUUGUUCUGGUGUUCCAGCCAGUGUUAAUCCUCUCCCUUACUGCAGAGUUAAGUUGUUCCUGAGCUGAGUGUCAACCUCCUGUGUGGUGACCAGGGUCAUCCAAGUGCCCACCUCGCCGCGGUCAAGCAAUCACAAGCGAUUCCCCAGCUGUACAGUGCAUGUUUCGUGUUCUCCUUAGAACACCUAGACGAGGUGGUAUUUGAAGAAGUCUACUCCAAUGCCUGCUCCUCAAGUGGAUGAAGCCAUCUAACUGGGUAUUGGAUAGAGGGAUCUAGAACCACUUCACUGCAACAAAGGCAAGCCCCGGUGCAUGCAACCCCUUCCUUGUGUUUUUAAAUUAUUUUUACACACUUUAAGUCUAGUGAAUGUGCAUUAGGUUUAUAGGAGUUGCUUGGAAACCCUUUGAUGCAUUGCCUUCCUU
rnacentral:lncRNA from 1 species